rnacentral:lncRNA from 10 species
UUUUUUGAGACAAAAUCUUGCUCUGUCGCCCAGGCUGGAGUGCAGUGGUGCGAUCUCGGCUCACUGCAACCUCCGCCUCCCCAGUUUAAGCGAUUCUCCUGCCUCAGCCUCCCAAGUAACUGAGACUACAGGUGCGUGCCACCACACCUGGCUAAUUUUUUGUAUUUUUAGUAGAGAUGGGGUUUCGUUAUGUUAGCUAGGAUGGUCUCGAAAUCCUGACCUCGUAAUUCGCCCGCCUAGGCCUCCCAAAGUGCUGGGAUUAUAGGCGUGAGCUAUGGCGCCCGGCCAAAGCGUCCUUUUUAUAUAGCCUGGCAGAUACAAUCCAUUGCAUACACGCUCUCAAGAUAAAUAGUAACUCAUCCUCAUGCAAAAGGACUUGCUAUGCAGUUUUUUUUGUUUUGUUUUUUUUGAGACAGGGUCUCAUUCUGUCAUCCAGGCUGGAGUGUAGUGGUGUGAUCUUCUUGGCUCACUGUAACCUCCACCUCCUGGGUUCAAGUGAUUCUCGUGCCUAAGCCUCCCAAGUAGCUGGAAUUACAGACGUGCCAUCAUGCCCAGCUAAUAUUUGUAUUUUAGUAGAGACAGAGUUUCGCCAUACUGGCCAGGCUGGACUCAAACUUCUUCUUUCGAUUUCUGUGUGGCUUCAAGUGAUCCGCCUGUCUCUGCCUCCCCCAGAGUGCUGGGAUUACAGGUGUGAGCCACCAGGCCUGGCCUGCUAUGCAUUCUUAAACACUCAUCCUAAAUUCACCUGGAAAUCAACGUGGCCAUCCAUGCUAGUUAAUUACCUGUAUCCAAUGAAAAAAUAAAACUUCUCACAUCUCCUUGACAAGCAGGUAGUAACAGCUCAAGGUGCCUAGGCUAAAUUCCCUAGGCAACAGGAAGAUAGGGACACUAUUUUCCUCCAGGUUUACAUUUCAAAGACAAGACUCUUAGGCUCUUAAGAAAACAAUUCCUGGAUUGUGACCAGGCACGGUGGCUCACGCCCAUAAUCCCAGCACACUGGGAGGCCGAGGCUGGUGGAUCACCUGAGGUCAGGAGUUCAAGACCAGCCAGACCAACAAGGUGAAACCCUGUCUCUACUAAAAAUACAAAAAUUAGCCAGGCGUGGUGGCAGACGCCUGUAGUCUCAGCUACUCAGGAGGUUGAGAUGGGAGAAUUGCUUGAACCUGGGAAGUGGAGGUUGCAGUGAGCCGAGAUUAUACCCCUGCACUCCAGCCUGGGUGACAGCGAGAUUCUGUCUCAAAAAAAAAAAAAAAAAAAAAAAAAAAAAAAAAAAAAAAAUCCUGGGUUGUAAUGUUGGCAAGAAGUUCAUUUACCUUUUUAAAAGAUUUAGGUACAUAUCAAAGGCACAAAAGAAGUUAUUUAUAUUACAAGGUUUAUCAAGGAAAUACUCUUUAAAAAGGAGAGGAGAGGAGUAACGUAAGUAAGACAAAUGUAAUCUUUUUUUUUUUUUAGAAAAUCCAUACAGUGAGGGCUGGGCACGGUGGCCCACAUCUGUAGUCCCAGCACUUUGGGAGGCCAAGGCAGGUGGAUUACUUGAGGCCAGGAGUUCGAGACCAGCCUGGGCAACAUGGCAAAACCCCAUCUCUACUACAAAUACAAAAAUUAGCUGGGUGUGGUGGUGUGUGCCUAUUGUCCCAGCUACUCUGGAGGCGGAGGCACGAGAAGUGCUUGAACAUGGGAGGCAGAGGUUGCAGUGAGCCGAGAUUGAGCCAUUACAAUCCAGUCUGGGCAACAAGAGUGAAGCUCUGUCUCAAAAAAUAAAAAAAUAAAAAAUAAAAAACAAAAACAAAGAGCCUCUUUUCCCUCUCCCUGCCACAGAGUUGUCUUCAGUAAUUUCAUUCCCUUUUUUCCUGAGGGUUCACUGGGUUUCUGGGUCCCAGAAGGGGAAGUUCUCUUCAAGGUACAGAAACCACAACUCCACAGAGAACCGCAGAGACGGCAGCAUGACCAGACCCUGGCCAGGUUUGGGGAGGCUGCUGGGCUGAGACUUGGGCUGAACUUCCGCUGCAGGUCGACUUAUUCCCAUCAGCACCAAAGCUGCUGGAGGGGGUCAUCCAAAAGCAAAGGAAGCAGGGGCGCAGCUUGGAGGCUGUUUCAGAAGGUCCCACUGAGCCAAGGACUCAAGGCCUGGCCACAGCCCUCCCAAGCGAGGCCCAGAUCAUAUUUCACCAUGCUCAGAAAACCUUGUCUGCUCAUUUCAGUCCACAGUGAUUUUGCUUUCUUUAGGAUCUCUCUUGAACUGUCCAACCCAGAGAGUUUCAAAUCGGAAUGGAUUCCAAUGAUGGAGCUAAAUCAGGCCCCACCUCAGUUUUUGAAUUACAAUCAAUAGGGCUGGGUCCCAGCAUCUGUAUCUUAAUGUUCCUCCAUGUGAUCCUCAUGCUGAAAGGCUGGUAUUUGCAAAUCCCUUUUUUUGGGGAGUGAAGGGUUUUUUUUUUUAGAGAGAGGCCUCACUCUGAUGCCCAGCCUGGAAUGCAGUGGUGGAUCACAGCUCACUGCAGCCUUGAACCCCUGGCCGCAAGAAAUCCUCCCACCUUAGCCAACCAAAGUGUUGGGAUUGCAGGACUGACCACUGUGUCUGGCCAGGAAAGCCCUUCUGUUUCACUUGAAUGAUAUUUCUGCAGCAUACCUACAGCCAUUGUUGUAUUCAACUGCAUCACUGCGGGAAAAGAAAAGCCUGGACUCUGAAAUGGGCAUGUACAGAGACGAAGAGACCCCAACAUGCUUCAGGCUUUGAGUGGAGAGGACACAGCCUCUGCUGGGACAGGGAAC